CACACGCACAUGCGCACGCACCACGCCUACGAACGUGCGCACGCAUGAACACACAUGAGAAUGCGCAGACACGCACAGGAACGCACGCGUGUGCGCGCGCAGACACUCCGCACGCUGGCGUCUCGGAGCAGCGCCCGCCCUCCCCGCGCCUCCGGGCUUCUCUCCAAAAACCUGAGGGGCUGGGACCCCGGCCGUGUUGCGACCCCACAGCGCCGUCCUCCCCGCUCCCCGUCCGGCUGCCCUGGGACACCGACCGGGGGGCCGUGCAGUGGUCAGGACCCCGUGGUCCCGAGGCCCGGGCGCCCUUCCCAGAGCCUUCCCGACCUCUUCUGAGAGCAGCCCCCACGCCCUGCUGUGGCCUCCGAGGGGUGGGCACACCGCUGCCACGGCGGCCCUCGCCUCACCAGACACGCGGCCCGAGGGAAGGGCCCGGCUCGAAGGGGCCGCUCCUCCCAAGCGGUCGUCCGUUUUAGAAUAUAGUCCUGAACACGUGGUUUUGUGACGGUGGAGGAAUUGUGCUUGAAAGUUUGCAGAUGGAGGUGUCCAUCCUGGAAAGGACAGGCGGCGGCAAAUCGCACAGCUCACAGGGAUUGUGAAAGAUUUGGAUUCAGAUCUGCCCUUCACUUGACUGAAGUCUCCUAGAGACCAAGCUGUAGCCCAGGAGAAGGAAGCCCGUGCAGGGAGACCCAGACCAGGAAGGGUGUCAGGUUCUUGGCACCUGGUCCCAUGGCUGAACUCUGGAUUACCCAGGAUGCAGUGACAUGUAGAAGAGCCUCGAAGCCUCUACAGAUUCACACAAAGUGCGGAGUGAUCCUCUGUGACUCAGGUCAGCAGCCUCUCCCCACUGCCCCACCAGAAAGGGGGCUCCAGUUCAUUGAAGACGCUUCUCUUGGAGGAGAUCUGGAUGAAGAUCUCACUGCUCUCGGCCUCUCGCUUCAGUGCAGCACCUGGGCCAGGUUCUUGGGCCAUGUUCUACCCAGGUGAUUAGAAUCUGGUCCCACGUCCAAAAGUCUGAAUUAAAAUACUUUCAGAUUUUUCAUAAA